UGCAAGCAACGUUGACAAAUGAUUAAUUCAAAAUGAGUGGAAUGUUUAUAUUAAGUUUAAUUAUACGUAAAAUCCGACGAAGUAUUCUCAAAUAAAUGAUAGUGUCGAUUUAUUUAACUUGUGUAUCGAUUUCACUGUUUUAUUUUUUUAGAUCUAUGCCCAGAAAAGACGAGUAAAGCUCCAGCAAUGCAGUAGUCCUUUAGAUUUACCAAAAAGACGUAAAAGGUUUAAAUGCAAACGGCAAAUUUAAAUCUAAGUAAAUGAAAGGUGUCGACCACAAACCUUCAACACUUCCAAGUCAAUUAAAACUAAUUACUUUAAACUUCGUAAUUGCUUGAAGCUUUGAGAUAAAGUAAAUUUGAUGUUUCGCUUAAAAGAGGUAAGUCGCAAAAUAAGCUUGUUGCACUUUUCCUUGUAAUCGUUUACGUUAUCGUUAAUUAAUUACCAGUUGAGUAUACACAAAGAAAAAUAACCAAAACGUUGAGUGAAUCCUGCACUCAACGGUUAAAAUAAAUUAGCAACAAUAACACUGAAACUAAUGGGUCUAUUUUCAUUUCAAUCAAUCAAGACAGUUUCUUUGAAUUAUUAUUAUUUAUUUAUUAUUUAUACUAUACAUUAUUGCCUUCCAGCGUGAGUUUGACUAUUAUUGUGUAAUACGUAUUUUUUUGCUGUUGUACAAAAUAUAAAACUUAUCAAUAGAGCUCUUGUUCGUCUUAAUACAACACGUGUUUCUUUUCCCACAUUUGUAUGCAAUAAUUUACCUAGAAACCAAUAAAACCGUCAACCCAAAGCGAACUUAGGGGGUAAGUUAAUCAGUAUUUCAAAUCCGAAUUCCCAAGGGGAAAUUUGGGUCAGGAUGAUUUUGUGUUUUGUUAAGUGCACUUGAUUUUGGAUUAAUCUACAUUACUAAGGUGAGUGCAUCUGCUUGCAUAAUUUAUUGUAUGAAUUUAAUUAGGCUUUUUUUACAUAAAAUGGUAAAGGCGUACCCUUUCCUUGAGACUACCAGUACAAGUACAAGCCCAGUUCCAUGUCUUUUGCUGGUGGUGUUGGUCUGGCGUUGAGUAAUGCCUUCCUUCACUCACGGGAGCUACAUCCUCCUCGACCUGCGUUGGGAGGCAUGGAGAAUAGAUACGGUGGUCCUGUAGAGAUCCUCGUUUAGUUCCACGCACGAAGGUAGGGAUUGCACAGGAAGAUAGCUACGUGUAGCAUGUUUGAGUGUUGCUGUGUAACAUGAUUAGGGUAGCUGUAGCUGGGUGCAAGACAAAGGUGCUCCUUGUAUUUCUGGUAAUUACAGUGGACCAAGCCGAGAGCAGCCAUGGGGACCAAAUACUGUUAGAGGCCUAUAUGAUCCUGACAAUUUGUGAGAACCUCGAGAAGGAAAAGGUACUUGGCCACGGCUAGCCAGGAGAAACGAGUCAGCUACCCAAGUUACGCCAAGAAGUAAAUGAAAAUACAAACUAAAAAUAAAAUAAGAAUGCCAGCUUUGUGAAUCCUCAGGCACUGGCCGGUAUAAAAACUUUUGUCUUGGCAAAUUGGUUAUAAGGUAUAACUUAAUCUAAUCUCAUUUACAAAUAACGACUACAAAGGCAAAAGAUGAAUUAAAAGACACUUUACAGGUGAUCGGACAUUAGCAACUUCUAUAUUUCCUGUAAUCAAUUGGAAAAAUGGAAAACACGACACAGGCAAUUGCAGAUUACCUGCACUUUGGAAGCUGCUGCGAUAUUUCGCACGUUGCAUUGCAGACCGUCUGAUCUGAAAUACCAUGUGUUAGAUGAGCUCCAGCUAAGCAGAACAUAUCAAUCAUAAGUUGGUGAACUCGUUUUAGCAUUUCAUAAGAGAACAGCAGUUCA